GGAGGGCAAUGGUGCCAUCUCGGCUCACUGCAACCUCCGUCUCCUGGGUUCAAGCGAUUCUCCCACCUCAGCCUCCUGAGUAGCUGGGAUUACAGGCAACUGCCACCAUGCCUGGCUAACUUUUUAAAUUUUUAGUAUAGACGGGGUUUCACCAUGUUGGCCAGGCUUGUCUCGAACUCCUGAUCUCAAGUGAUCCAACCACCUCGGCCUCCCAAAAUGCUAGGAUUACAAGCGUGAGCCACCAUGCCCAGCCCUAAACUACCAAAUCUUAAUAAAGAAGAAACAGAUCUCCUGAAUAGCCUCUAUCUAUUGAAGAAAUUGCAUGUAAAGUUUAAAACCUUCUCACAAAGAAAACUCUAGGCCCAGAUAGUUUCAUUGGUGUAUUCUACCAAACAUUCAAGGAAGAGACAAUACCAAUCUAUACAUACCGUUCCACAAUACAGAAGAGAAGGGAAUACGGAACCUGUUCACUUUCUACCGGUUCCAUCGCCGUCCUUCUCCUCUUGCCUCCACCUCCAUGAUUGGGAGUUCCUGUGCAUGUGUACAGGCACCCCAGACCGCAGGCCCAUGCUUCAGGCACAGCCCCUGGAAACAACCACCACACCCCCAGGGCCAAGGGGUGAGCCCACCAGUGGCUUUGAAAAUGGGAAACUUACCUAGGUGCUGUUCCAUUCUUCCAAAGCUCAACACUCCACAAGAAUCCACCUGCUCUCGGUUACACUAAAACACCUGCAAGUACUUGUUUUUUAUAUUUCGUCCAGAUUUGAUCAUUGUUAUCUUCAGGAGAGUGACCUGUUUUUUGCAUCACAGAAUCUAACUUGGUUGUGAGAUGCCCUUGUCACCAGCCCAGUUGUUCUAUUCCCAAGAUGGCACACAACAGAAAUACAUAUUGCUUCUCAAGUGAUGAGGUGGUUCUGCCUAUCUGACUGAGUUAACACAGACCUGCUGAGCCAGUUUUCUGCCAAAUUACUACAAUGAAGAAGAAAUGAGUGUCCAGGACCAUCCAGAAAACGAGGCGCAAGGAUUGAGGCCAGUGGUAUGUGACAAUUACUAUUCUGCCAAAGUAAAUUUAGAAGCUGAAAGAUAGGAUGCCACUUCUGAAGAUAUGCGGCUGUUUUUAUGCCCUGAAGCUUAGCUCUCUGCACCACACUUCAUGGGACUUGCUGACCUUUAAGUCCCUUUCAACCUUGAGAUUUGAUUCUGUAACUAGCAGUACGGUGCAUUUUUUAAAAAAUAAUUUAGCAAAAAAGGCUAACCACUAGAGGGCAGAAAUAUUACAAGAAAGGAGCGAUGCCUGCUACAGUGAACUACACCUGUGAGUUUUACAAUUCUUAUUUCAAUUAAAUUCCACAAAAUUUUAUUGCCUGACAACUCCAUUCUAUAAUCUGUGUUAUGCUAAGAGUCCAGUGACUAAUAAUGCUCUCUGACAGUUCACAACUCAAAUAUGCAACUGUAAGAACGAAUGGCCACCUGUUCACAUUGUGUGAUAGCCCUUUUCAUUUGUUUAGAAGUCUGUAUUAAGCACUUACUGUGUACCAGGCGCUGUUCUAUGGACUCAGGAUACAUCAGCUACCGAAGCAAAGAUCCCUAACCUUGUGAAACUGACAUUCUGGUGGGAGGACAGAUCCAAUAAAAACUAAAAUAAAUAAGUCAAUGAUGUAGUGUGUUAAAAAGUGAUCGGUGCUGGCUGGGCGCCGUGGCUCAGGCCUGUAAUCCCAGCACUUUGGGAGGCCGAGGCAGGUGGAUCACUUGAGGUCAGGAGUUUUGAGACCAGCCUGGCCAACAUGGUGAAACCCCAUCUCUAUUAAAAAUACAAAAAAUUA